rnacentral:sRNA from 1 species
CUCUCACUCUUCCUCUCUCUUCUUCUCUACUGGAAAAUCCAGUCUUUCAUCUUCCUCGGCUCUUCCUUUCUCUCCGCUCCCCAUAUCUCUCUCCGUGGAGCCUACAAACUAAGUAGUGACGAUCGACAAGCUUCAAACAUGGCGGACGCGUACUGGAGAAGGGACAGUUCUGUCCGUUGCAGAGAGAGACGGGGGAGUAUGGGCGUAGGGGAGAGGAUUUACGGCAGGGAGGUAUGGGUUUAGGGAGAAAGAGUAAGGGAGAAGUAUGGGGUAGGCUGAUUUCCAGGGAUUUCUUUUCACCCCUUCACUCACCACGAACCCACCUUUCCUUUCUUUUCUCCCGCCCUCAAAUCUUCCGUUUUCCCUCUCACAAAAUACCCACCAGGGAAACCCUGCUUUUGGUUUAUUUUGGGAUUUUGUUUGCGCUCUCGAUUUUCAGACGACGGGCCAUUGGUUGAGAUUUGGAUUUCUUCCCCUUUUGUCGAAACGCACAAAUUUUGUUUCGGUGGGAUCGGUCUCGAAUAGCUGUGUGUGUCUACCCUUUUCAAGGGGAUGGACAGAAGUCCCAGGCAGCAAACUCUCUGUAAUCAUCAUUGGGAAAAUAUUGUGGUCAUUUUGAGCUCGGAUUCAGCCAGCAUGUGAUCUGUGCAAGAUAUCCAUAUAUGGAUCAAUGCUAUGGACUCUUUUCAACCUAUUUACCUCAAAUUUCAGUGCUAGGAUUAUGUUUAAUAAGACUAAAUGGGACUCGCAUGGACAAACUCCUUCGCUAGGAGGCCUUAGCGAGACCCCCCAAAUUGAAGCGGACUGCUAAGACCAUCACAGUUUAUCUGCUCUGCUUCGCUUUGCCAAAACCGCUUAUCUUGGAUCGAUUGACUGCUCUUCCUCAUGCGAGUCCUUAGGUCGGGAAAAGUUUUGAAGAGGAUAGAGAGUGAGCUUGGAAAUGUAAGGAUUUUGCAUGUGUUGUGUAAGGUGACUGGCAAUAACCUUAUCUUGGUCAAUUAGCAAAAUGCUAUCAGAAUCUUUCACAGCAUCAAAUAUCUUUGAGAAUUCUUGAGCUGCCAUUGAUUCCUGCAUUUGUGCACACUUUCAUUUAUUCAAGACUUAUACAAAUGUCUUUGAGAAUUCUUGACUGCCAUUGGUUUCUUCCGUGCCAUGUAAUUUCAUACUUAUAGAAAUGUCUAUGCGUUCCUCAAAGCUUAUGUUUUCCCAAGCCAGAGCAAUGUUGAAUCUUUUGGGGGUUUUUGUUAAUUAUUUGUUGAUGGUAAUCCCAUCUCUCUUAAGACUGUUUUAGAUGUACAAUAUAUGUCAUUUUUUCUCUAUGGUAUGACUGAAACAUUAGCUCCGUUUCUGGUAUCUCACCCUUAAGUUUGCAGGUUUAUAUGUUCGUUUUGUUUCAAAAGAUUGCUGGCUGUCUAGUUGCGGAACCAAUCAAAACACACAAAGUUCAUGUGUAGUUGAUGGAAGUUCUGAUAAAAAGGUCCAAAGCUUUUGUUGAUGCUUUGCCCUCAUGGUAGCUAAACAACUCUGCUGAAAAAAGCACUGCCAAGAUGAAGAUUGAGGACGAUGAUCAACUAUUUCAGAACAAAUUGUCAAAUUCUCAUCUGGCUUUCGCCAAUUUUGCAGGAGAGAGAAGAUAGAGAAAGUGGUGUUGUACUAGAUGUGAAGUUCUCUAUUUAUUUUUAUUUUUUUAAGUUUUAGAUUUUCCUUUUCUAAAACAACAAGUGUGGAUUAAAAUGUGAAUUAAAAAUGAUAAGAAAAUUAAUUUGGGUCCCAAAAAUAUUUUAGUCCGGCACUUCUCCAAACACUUAACUAUUCUUAUCCUGCUUAGUCUAAGCCAAGCUUGUCCACCUUAGUCCCUGAGACUAAUCUAGUCUGAGAUAGUUCAGCACAACAAACGCAUCCUUAAUUUAUAUGGGAGUUGGUUUUAUCUUCCUUUUGUGCUGCUCUUUCAGUUUUUCAGUCUCUCUGCAUAAAUCAAACCGUAUGUGUUUUGCCCGUUUUUGUUCAUGGCCCUAUUGUUUGUAAUUGUAGUAGUGAUCCUGUGUUUGAUGUUGCAGAAAUUACACCGUAUGUAUUUCACCAUGAAUAUGCAUGGUGAAAAAAAAAAACCAUGGGGAAAUCAUUUUUCGUAUGAUUUGUAUUACCUGACCAUGCAGGGAUGGUUCAAAAAACAACAGAAAUUCUGAUCGUGGGAGGAAGAAGCUGGUUCCUUACGGCAUGUUCAAAGCCUAAUUAGUCAUGUAGAUUUUUUAUUUAUCUUUGUAAAUCUUUCGUGCUUGGAUUUUAAAUAUAUGAUUGAUUUUUGAGAAAUAAAUGAAAAAAAG